rnacentral:rRNA from 1 species
UACGUAGGGGGCUAGCGUUGUCCGGAAUCAUUGGGCGUAAAGAGCGCGUAGGCGGCUAGAUAAGUCCGGUGUGAAAGUCACAGGCUCAACCUGUGAAUGCCGCUGGAAACUGUCUGGCUAGAGUCCGGAAGGGGCGAGUGGAAUUCCUGGUGUAGCGGUGAAAUGCGCAGAUAUCAGGAGGAACACCGAUGGCGAAGGCAGGUCUCUGGGCCACUACUGACGCUGAGAAGCGAAAGCAUGGGGAGCGAACAGG